UGCCAACUGUAAUAAAAUGUGCCACUGUAAGAUUGGAGGUUGUCACUCAGACACAGGAGUGUGUGAUGCGCCAGAAUGUCAGGACGGAUGGACGGAAGAUAACUGUUCAGUAUGUGUCAACGACCGUCAUGGCAGUGAAUGUACACAAGAGUGUCACUGUUUGACGGAGGGGUGUGACAUGGUAACUGGCAGAUGUACACAACCAGGAUUUCAGAGCGGGUGGAAGGGAGACGCUUGUGAUAGAAGAAAUUAUUCACACUUGCCAGGAUGGAUGGAUGGAGAGAUCAUGUGAUCAAAAAAUAGUGACCGGUGAGUUGACCUUUAGCCCCCGAAAUAUAAACACCCGGAUGUGAGGAUGGAUGGACAGGAC